CAUCUAUUUAAUCACCGGUGACCGCAAAUCCGUCAUCCGCCUCAUCUUUUCAAUUAUGUUCAAGAAUGCUUUCCAUUUCAAUUUCAAUAAACCUUUUGCGAAAAAUUGAGUUCUAAACCCUAGCCAAACACAUUAUUAAUUAUUAAUGGAGAAAAUGAGACCAAAAAGCGAGGUGAAAAGAGCUCAAUACUCCACAUCUUCAACAAGAAGCAGAUCAUCCUCACUACGGACACGCACCUCCAAAACUUCUCCUCCUUCAGCUUCACUCAUAGAUCAAUCUGCAACUGAGUUAAUAACUGAGUUUGAAGAAAUUCAACUCGCUGACAAUUCUGAAUACAACCCACGAAGUUUUCCUUACAGUGUGAAACAACAAUGUUGGGAGAAGGCGGAGAAAGUGAAAGGAAGAGACCCAAGUCGUUGGAGGAGAGACCCACUUGGGAAUAUUGUUUUUAGGAAGCUUGUUGGUUGCCCUGGUUGCUUGUGCCAUGAUUAUGAUCACAUUCUUCCUUACUCCAAGGUUCUCUAUGGCAGAAAUCCUCCACACAUUGUCCGGCUUGGACACAAACAAAACCAGGGGAUAGCCUGGACCAGAUCUUACAAGCUAUGUUUUGAAAAGCACGCUCGAGGUGCGCCUAGGCGCGAGGCGCACCAAGGCGAGCUCCAAAGCGCCUCCAAGAGUCAAGGGCAAGGCACAACGUAGACCAGGAGGCGACCAAGAGGGUGGAAAGAGUACUCUGGAGAAUUGUCAAGUUUUACAGGCUACUGUUAAUCGCUCUAAGGGGAAUCGGACUGACAUAUCCCGGGCAGAGCUCAUACAAAGGAGCUCAUAUUGCCGAGUUUCAG